rnacentral:tRNA from 1 species
GCCUGGGUGGCUGAGUUGGUUAAGCGUCUGACUUCGGCUCAGGUCAUGAUCUCAUAGUUCAAGGGUUCGAGCCCCGCGUCGGGCU